UUGCCCUGGGGGAACUGCUUGGCAUCAAUUUUCUUUUGCUAACAAGUUUGCAAAUUGUGAGAAACCCAAAAUGACUGCAAAUGUCAUGCUGUUCAUCCCCUGCAGAGCUUGAAUAUACCUCCCAUUUGUAGGUUCUGGGCUGGACUUGUAAUUUGUUUGGACCAAUGAAACAUAAAGUUAGUUAUGGUUUAAAAGGAUAAGCCCACAAAACCUUGGUUCAUCUGGUCUUUACCUUUGAGAACCCAAAUUCUGUAUGAAGAAGUUCUCGCUGAUCUUGUUGAGGAUAAACAGUGCGUACAGAAAGAAGCGCAGAACAAGCCAGCCACAGCCUGCAGGCAGCUUUCCUUUCAAUUACCCUGAAUGGAAUCGACUUUCAGACCAACCUUUAAAAUGCUGCUGUGAGGGCAGAGACAACAGAAUGCGGGAACUUUCCUGGGCACUGCAGUCAGUGCUGGUGAGAAGAUAUUCCUGAAGAAGGUACUGCAGCUGGAAUGAAGAGUUUGCAGGCAAAUCACAACAGGACACACAUUCCCCAGAGUCAAUGCAUGAGGGCCGAGUCAAUGCAGCUGAAGAUGGUCGACUCUGAUCUGAUGAAGAAGGUGUUUUCUACCAGUGACAUUCAAGCCUCAGCGUCUUUGAGAGUUCCUCCUCUAAAGAUGGUGGCCAAAGGUUCAGCUGCUGAGUGAAUUAAGCAGUAGUCACAGGACAAGCUUGAAACAACUAUGGCCUAAUCUACUCUAGCCUCUGUGGCACUGCACAGAUCCGAAUGCGAGGGGCAUAAGACAAGAGUUCUGCGUGUUCCGUCCACUGCAUCUUCAGCCUCUCAGAAAGUGACCCCCACACAGCAGGGAAUCACGGAUGAAUGCCGGGCAGGAAAAUCCGGCCCUGUAGAGACAAGUCCUCUGGCUUCCAAGUAGCCAACUUGAUGAGUGUAGAGAAAAGUGCCCUGUGCCUCUUGGCAUGUGUAGGCUUGAACUGAGCCUCUGAUUUUUUUAAACCUAUUUCCCCAAAGAGACGCUUUGGAGUGUCUGAGCUCCAAUAGAUUUAGAAUAUUGCCACAGUAAGAAUGUGUACCAAUAGCACUGAAAAUAAUUGUGCCUCCUCCACGCGCAGUUCCUAGUCACUGCCUGUCCUAAUUUCAAGUCCCCGGCAAAAUAAUGUAACAGUAAAAUCAAAUGUAUAAAUGCAGAAACAUUUACGAUUGGCUCAAAGAAAGUGGCUUGAAGGUCGCAAGAGGGCUUCUUUCCUGGGGAGAUUGUUACGUGUUAGAUAUUUGAUUCCUGUAAAUUCUUCAUGAAUAUGCACAUGUCUACCUCAGAGCAUGAAAAACAUGUGCAGUGUGAGAAUUCUAGACAGCAGAGGGUCUGAACGUGCUCCUGCUGAUUGCUUUAAAAAUUAUAGGAGGAUUUCAGCCAUAUCUAUAUGCAAACUUCGAGCAUUCCCUCAGCAGGCUUCGCUGUCAUGGCAUCAGUCCCACAUGUGCCAGGUGAGGGAUUCAACCAAAUAUGGCCACUUUGUUUGAAUGCCUGUGAUGGGGAACCCGUAGCGUGUGGAGGAGACAGACAGAGGACAGAAACAUGUGCACAAUUGCAUCAUUGGUUAUGAACUCUUCAUGUCCAUUGAGGAGUUCUCUGAAAGAUGCAUGCUCAGUUACAACCUUUACUGUGUAUUAACCAUAGGCCACACACACUCCAGCCACUUCACACUAGCGCUUAAGUAAGUAAUGUGCUAGGGCCAGGGGACAGCCUUCACAGACGUGUAAAAGUCAAACUUUUGUGUGCACUGAGAAUUCUCUUCUGAGGCUCUGCCACCACCUUCGAGGCCUGUGGCUCUUUGAUUUUUUCUUUCUGUUAUUGAAGCUUUGCAGAUAUCACACAGUAUAUUUUGAUUGUAUUUAGAUCCUCUACCCUAUCUGCGCUCUCCCUUUAUAUAUAUCAGGACCUGGAGUCUAAUUUGUGUCCCUAAACACACUUUGGUGUGGAUUCAUCCACUGGAGCCUGGUCAACCUACCCAC